CAGCUGACACCCAAGAAGGAAUCCUUGAAGACGUCUUUGGUGCGAAAAGGCGAUUGUAUUAAAGCAUGGGGACAGGACUCACGGGCAGAAAAAGCUGACAGGUGGUGAUGCAUGCCAUGAUGUAAGUAAGACAGCAUGCC